rnacentral:rRNA from 1 species
UACGAAGGGGGCUAGCGUUGCUCGGAAUCACUGGGCGUAAAGGGUGCGUAGGCGGGCUUUUAAGUCAGGGGUGAAAUCCUGGAGCUCAACUCCAGAACUGCCUUUGAUACUGAAGAUCUCGAGUCCGGGAGAGGUGAGUGGAACUGCGAGUGUAGAGGUGAAAUUCGUAGAUAUUCGCAAGAACACCAGUGGCGAAGGCGGCUCACUGGCCCGGUACUGACGCUGAGGCACGAAAGCGUGGGGAGCAAACAGG